ensembl:misc_RNA Metazoa_SRP Metazoan signal recognition particle RNA
GCCGGGCGCGGUGGCGAAUGCCUGCGGUCCCAGCUACUUGGGAGGCUAAGGUGGGAGGAUCGCUUGAGCCCAGGAGUUCUGGGCUGCAGUGCGCUAUGCUGAUUGAGUGUCUGCACUAAGUUCGGCAUCAAUAUGGUGACCUCCCGGGAGCAGAGAACCACCAGGUUGCCGAAGGUGGGGUGGACCAGCUCAGGUCUGAAACGGAGCAGGUCAAAACUCCUGUGCUGAUCAGUAGUGGGAUCGUGCCUGUAAAUAGCCACUGCACUCCAGCCUGGGCAACAUAGUGAGACCCAGUCUCU